rnacentral:rRNA from 1 species
AGGUUAAGUUAUUAAGGGCGCAUGGUGGAUGCCUUGGCACUAGGAGCCGAUGAAGGACGUGACUAACUGCGAUAUGCUUCGGGGAGUUGUAAGUAAACUGUGAACCGGAGAUUUCCGAAUGGGGCAACCCAGCAGGCCUAACGGCCUGUUAUCGCUAAGUGAAUUCAUAGCUUAGUUGAAGGUAGACGUGGGGAACUGAAACAUCUAAGUACCCAUAGGAAGAGAAAGAAAUUCGAUUCCCCCAGUAGCGGCGAGCGAAGAGGGAAGAGCCCAAACCGAGAAGCUUGCUUCUCGGGGUUGUAGGACUGGACUUUAGAGUUACCAAGAGAUUUGAUAGUUGAAUGAUUUGGGAAAAUCAGCCAGAGAAGGUGAGAGCCCUGUAAACGAAAUUAAGUCUCCUCUGUCCAGGAUCCUGAGUACGGCGGAACACGUGAAACUCCGUCGGAAUCCGGGAGGACCAUCUCCCAAGGCUAAAUACUACCUAGUGACCGAUAGUGAACCAGUACCGUGAGGGAAAGGUGAAAAGCACCCCGGGAGGGGAGUGAAAGAGUUCCUGAAACCAUGUGCCUACAAGUAGUUAGAGCCCGUUAAUGGGUGAUAGCGUGCCUUUUGUAGAAUGAACCGGCGAGUUACGUUAGCAUGCGAGGUUAAGGGGGAAAGCCCGGAGCCGAAGCGAAAGCGAGUCUGAAUAGGGCGCUUUAGUAUGUUGACGUAAACCCGAAACCAGGUGACCUACCCAUGUCCAGGUUGAAGGUGCGGUAAAACGCACUGGAGGACCGAACCCGUGUAUGUUGAAAAAUGCUGGGAUGAGGUGUGGGUAGAGGUGAAAUUCCAAACGAACUUGGAGAUAGCUGGUUCUCUCCGAAAUAGCUUUAGGGCUAGCCUCGGAGUAAAGGAUAGUGGAGGUAGAGCACUGUUUGGACUAGGGGCCCGUCUUGGGUUACUGAAUUCAGAUAAACUCCGAAUGCCACAUAUCUAUAUCCGGGAGUCAGACUGCGAGUGAUAAGAUCCGUAGUCGAAAGGGAAACAGCCCAGACCACCAAUUAAGGUCCCUAAAUAUGUGUUAAGUGGAAAAGGAUGUGGAAUUGCACAGACAACUAGGAUGUUGGCUUAGAAGCAGCCACCAUUUAAAGAGUGCGUAAUAGCUCACUAGUCGAGUGAUCCUGCGCCGAAAAUGUAACGGGGCUAAACACAUUACCGAAAUUGUGGAUGUGUCCGUAAGGACACGUGGUAGGAGAGCGUUCUAAGGGCGGUGAAGUCAGACCGUAAGGACUGGUGGAGCGCUUAGAAGUGAGAAUGCCGGUAUGAGUAGCGAAAGGUAGGUGAGAAUCCUACCCACCGUAUGACUAAGGUUUCCUGGGGAAGGCUCGUCCUCCCAGGGUUAGUCGGGACCUAAGCCGAGGCCGAGAGGCGUAGGCGAUGGAUAACAGGUUGAGAUUCCUGUACUAGUUAAACUUGUUUGAACAAUGGAGGGACGCAGGAGGCUAAAGAUGCGCACUGUUGGAUAUGUGCGUCCAAGCAAUAAGUCUGUUGGUGAGUCAAAUGCUUACCGACUGAGGACAAGUUGUGAUGGGGAGCGAAAUUAAAGUAGCGAAGUGAUUGAUGUCACACUGCCGAGAAAAGCUUCUAGUUAGAGUUUAAUUACCCGUACCGCAAACCGACACAGGUAGUCGAGGAGAGUAUCCUAAGGUGAGCGAGAGAACUCUCGUUAAGGAACUCGGCAAAAUGACCCCGUAACUUCGGGAGAAGGGGUGCUGAGCGCAAGCUCAGCCGCAGUGAAUAGGCCCAGGCGACUGUUUAUCAAAAACACAGGUUUCUGCAAAAUCGUAAGAUGAAGUAUAGGGGCUGACGCCUGCCCGGUGCUGGAAGGUUAAGAGGAGUGCUUAGCGCAAGCGAAGGUGCGAAUUGAAGCCCCAGUAAACGGCGGCCGUAACUAUAACGGUCCUAAGGUAGCGAAAUUCCUUGUCGGGUAAGUUCCGACCCGCACGAAAGGCGUAACGAUCUGGGCACUGUCUCAACGAGAGACUCGGUGAAAUUAUAAUACCCGUGAAGAUGCGGGUUACCCGCGACAGGACGGAAAGACCCCAUGGAGCUUUACUGUAGCUUGAUAUUGGGUGUUUGUACAACUUGUACAGGAUAGGUA